UGCAGUCGAACGGGAUCCCAGGAGCUUGCUCCUGGGUGAGAGUGGCGAACGGGUGAGUAAUGCGUGACCGACCUGCCCCAUACACCGGAAUAGCUCCUGGAAACGGGUGGUAAUGCCGGAUGCUCCAGUUGGAUGCAUGUCCUUCUGGGAAAGAUUCAUCGGUAUGGGAUGGGGUCGCGUCCUAUCAGCUUGAUGGCGGGGUAACGGCCCACCAUGGCUUCGACGGGUAGCCGGCCUGAGAGGGCGACCGGCCACAUUGGGACUGAGAUACGGCCCAGACUCCUACGGGAGGCAGCAGUGGGGAAUAUUGCACAAUGGGCGCAAGCCUGAUGCAGCGACGCCGCGUGCGGGAUGACGGCCUUCGGGUUGUAAACCGCUUUUGACUGGGAGCAAGCCCUUCGGGGUGAGUGUACCUUUCGAAUAAGCACCGGCUAACUACGUGCCAGCAGCCGCGGUAAUACGUAGGGUGCAAGCGUUAUCCGGAAUUAUUGGGCGUAAAGGGCUCGUAGGCGGUUCGUCGCGUCCGGUGUGAAAGUCCAUCGCUUAACGGUGGAUCCGCGCCGGGUACGGGCGGGCUUGAGUGCGGUAGGGGAGACUGGAAUUCCCGGUGUAACGGUGGAAUGUGUAGAUAUCGGGAAGAACACCAAUGGCGAAGGCAGGUCUCUGGGCCGUCACUGACGCUGAGGAGCGAAAGCGUGGGGAGCGAACAGGAUUAGAUACCCUGGUAGUCCACGCCGUAAACGGUGGAUGCUGGAUGUGGGGACCAUUCCACGGUCUCCGUGUCGGAGCCAACGCGUUAAGCAUCCCGCCUGGGGAGUACGGCCGCAAGGCUAAAACUCAAAGAAAUUGACGGGGGCCCGCACAAGCGGCGGAGCAUGCGGAUUAAUUCGAUGCAACGCGAAGAACCUUACCUGGGCUUGACAUGUUCCCGACAGCCGUAGAGAUACGGUCUCCCUUCGGGGCGGGUUCACAGGUGGUGCAUGGUCGUCGUCAGCUCGUGUCGUGAGAUGUUGGGUUAAGUCCCGC
rnacentral:rRNA from 1 species